rnacentral:rRNA from 1 species
CGUGUAGGCGGCUUUGCAAGUCGGGUGUGAAAGCCCUCAGCUCAACUGAGGAAGUGCGCCCGAAACUGCAGAGCUUGAGUGCCGGAGAGGGUGGCGGAAUUCCCCAAGUAGAGGUGAAAUUCGUAGAUAUGGGGAGGAACACCGGUGGCGAAGGCGGCCACCUGGACGGUAACUGACGCUGAGACGCGAAAGCGUGGGUAGCAAACA